rnacentral:rRNA from 1 species
AGGACGAACGCUGGCGGCGUGCUUAACACAUGCAAGUCGAGCGGAAAGGCCCUUCGGGGUACUCGAGCGGCGAACGGGUGAGUAACACGUGAGCAACCUGCCCCUGGCUCUGGGAUAGCUCCGGGAAACCGGGAUUAAUACCGGACAUGACCCUCCUCCGCAUGGUGGUGGGUGGAAAGUUUUUCGGCCAGGGAUGGGCUCGCGGCCUAUCAGCUUGUUGGUGGGGUAGUGGCCUACCAAGGCGACGAC